rnacentral:rRNA from 1 species
UACGGAGGGUGCAAGCGUUAUUCGGAAUUAUUGGGCGUAAAGGGCGCGUAGGCGGUCGCUAAAGUCAGAUGUGAAAGCCCUCGGCUUAACCGAGGAAGUGCAUUUGAUACUUAGCGACUUGAGUAUGGGAGAGGGAAGCGGAAUUCCUGGUGUAGCGGUGAAAUGCGUAGAUAUCAGGAGGAACACCGGUGGCGAAGGCGGCUUCCUGGACCAAUACUGACGCUGAGGCGCGAAGGCGUGGGGAGCAAACAGG